UGAGGAAUAUUGGUCAAUGGGCGCAAGCCUGAACCAGCCAUGCCGCGUGCAGGAAGACGGUCCUAUGGAUUGUAAACUGCUUUUAUUUGGGAAUAAACCUAUUUACGUGUAGAUAGCUGAAGGUACCAAAUGAAUAAGCACCGGCUAACUCCGUGCCAGCAGCCGCGGUAAAACGUAGGAGGCAAGCGUUAUCCGGAGUUACUGGGCGUAAAGAGCGUGUAGGCGGCAGUGCAAGUGGCUUGUGAAAGC
rnacentral:rRNA from 1 species